rnacentral:lncRNA from 1 species
UUUGCGCAUUAAAACAAUAUAUAUAUAUAUAUAUAGAGUGAGGCUACUAUGCUAUCGGAAGCACGGAGUUUUUCGUGCUUUCAGCUCGUUUUUAAUGUUGCAACUUUCGAAUCGUCGAUCGACUCCGUUAAACUUGAUCUAGAGUAUUUGAAAUAUCUAGAAAAUAAAUUUUAUAAUUUUAUAAUAUCAUUUGCCUAGUGAACAAAGGGCUCAAAAUCAACAAAGUGUUGGUGUAGGGCCCACUCCUGUGAGCGUGAGUGUGAGUCUCCAUUGAUAGUGUGUACUGUAGCCCCUCUGAAUCUUACGUGCAUGCCCAGCUGGAGCCACGAGAGUCGCGUACACCAAACCCCCCCUCUCCUCCUCAGAAAACGUGCGACGCGGCGGUCCGGGGAAACUGCUCGCUGCACCAGGUCCAUGGUUCAUUCAUACUAUUUAAAACUUUCACAACAAAAUUAAUAUAUUUCACAAAUUAUUUUCUAGAACUAAAUUCUAAGCUAAGGCUACUAUGCUUUUAUGAGUAUAAGUCUUUUUAUAUUUUUAAAUUUUUGACCAUUGGAUGAAAAUAUGUGUGGGUAGAAUGAUAAUGGUCUCCGAUUAUAAUAAUAGUGGUUCUAUGGAAUUAAGUGGAUGGUUGGUUGAAUAGUAUAAUCUAACGAAUGAAAAUGAUCAAAGGAAUAAAUCUAACGAUCGAAAAUUUAUAAGUAAAAAAAAAACUUAUACUCGUAGAAGUACAGUAGUU